rnacentral:rRNA from 1 species
GAAACAACUCUCAGCAACGGAUAUCUG